UUCUCCACCCCAAAUCAAAUUCUCUCUCUCUCUCAAAAAAUUGAAUUGGGUCACCACACGAUUUCUCCUCACGACACCACCAUUGCUCAUGAUUGAAGGCUCGUCGUGUCCAGAAAACAUGAGUGACCGGGACGGGGAAGAGACGACGUCAGCGACGAGCUCUGAUGAGGAUAAUUUCGCACAUCCAGUUCCUCCGUAGGACAUUGUUGGUUUGGUAAAUUGGUGUAGUUCUUAAGAGAUCGAUAGAGGUGAGAAAGAUGACUCCAUCGAACCCAUGAUAAAGCAUUCGGGCGUGGGAACCGCCGGCAAAGACCAUGACGGGUGGGGCACGACAUGGGCACGAUCGUGGGCUGCGGUCAUGCCCACAAUGGCAGCCCCCCAUGGUGGACACGGCAGAUGCAUCCCAUCGUGGGCACGACAGCCUCCUCUGGUCAUGGUCUUAGCAUCCAUGGCUCUAUUUUGUUGUGCUUUGUUGUAUUAUUUUGUUCAAAGACAUGAUCAUGGUUCUAAUGUCUUGUAUACAUUGAUUUUCUAGAAUAAUUGUGAUUGAAAAUGACCACCAUGCUCUA